rnacentral:rRNA from 1 species
UACGUAGGGGGCAAGCGUUGUUCGGAAUUACUGGGCGUAAAGCGCACGUAGGCGGCUUUGUAAGUUAGAGGUGAAAGCCCGGGGCUCAACUCCGGAACUGCCUUUAAGACUGCAUCGCUUGAAUCCGGGAGAGGUGAGUGGAAUUCCGAGUGUAGAGGUGAAAUUCGUAGAUAUCUGGAGGAACACCGGUGGCGAAGGCGGCAUCCUGGACCAACACUGACACUGAGGAGCGAAAGCCAGGGGAGCAAACGGG